UUUUGUUGUCUAAUUUUGCGGUUUGCAGGUUCCUUUCUCAACCUAAAGAGGCAAAAAAAGUAUAUAUGGUGCAUGGUGCAGUAAAAAGGAGGAAAUAAUGACACUCAGAUAUUCUUCUAUUUAACACUUAAGCAUUGGAUAAUUCUAGAUGCCAUUAUAAUUAUCAGAGUGUAGGCUACUGAGAGCGUCACGUCAUGCAUCAUAUUUUAUGUUUCAAAUAGUAUUGCUAAAACCAGAAGAUUUUUGUUUUAUUUGGCAUGUCUUCCAUCUCUUGAAGUUCUUUAUUUUAACACUGUUGAGACCUUAAUAUUGCAAGUCACAUCUUAUCAAGCAGCUCUACUGUAUGAAUGUGCCAAGACAAUUAACUUCAUUAACUUUUUAUUCUUUCCAGAUUCACAAAAGAAGGGAGUAAGAAAUGAAAAAUUAAUUGUAAUGUUGUUUGCACUUCCUUACACUAUGUAGAAAUUGAAAUGAAGCAGUGAAAAUAAUGGAUCAUGUUGUUCUGAUAAAGUAUAAUUGUCUAUGCAAAUCCACGUACAUUAAUUCUUCUUGUAAGCCAGUUGUUAAAGUGCUUCAGUAUACCUCUAGUGGUGUUAGUGGUCUUAGCUCUUACCACCUAGCUAGUAUUUUAUUUGGUGUUUUCAAAAGUCUGCACUACAGAUUCUAGUACUCAAAGAGUGUUCAUAUAUCUCCAGGGCUGUAAGUAAUGUAUUAAUAUAAUGGGCAUGCAUGGCACUGUUUUCUUUUUAUUUUCCCUGCUCCCCACUGCUGCUAGAAAGAGGAUGUGUGAUAAUGACUCUGUGAAGACACUGGUGUAAUGAAAAUUUGGCUAAUGACUCUAAGGGCCUUAUACUGUUGUAUACAGUACACAAUGCUGUUUACAGAAACACUUUUUCACAUAAAACAGGAAGUCAGUAAUUGCAAUUCUGACUUGCACUGCAAAUGUUUUCAUCUGUCCUUUUUAAAUAUAUGUUUGAUUGGCAUAAGAAAAGACAAAGUUAUAACCUGACAAUUUUUAAAAGACCUUUCUAUUUAUUUGCAUUUUAUUAAUAAUACAAGAGAAUUAGCCUUGGAAUUAGUGACAGUUCAUAAAAUAUAUUAAUCUCUUGGAUUAUUGUUCAUCUCUGUCCUCCAUUGUCAUGUCCUAAUCAAUAUCCCUUAUACCUGUUCUAAGGAUUAUAGAAUGACUGUACGAGUGUUUUGAAUUCACAAGCCAGUAAUUUAGCUGGACCACAGGUGUGAUGUAGAGAAGACCAACAAAGCAGGAAACACAAAGAACAGUUCUCUCAAAAAUUCUUCCUGCCAAAAAAUAAAUUUUGCACCUUUAAGACUGGCUCCAAGAGCAAAGGGAGAAGAAGCGUGGAGUUCAUUUUCGGAAACUGCACUUGCUCCCCUGCAUCCUUCUCCUGGACUGCAUUGUCUGCAGCACAGACAGAUGGUAGGACAGAGCUCUCCUUUGCUUUUAGUUAGUUUUAGCUAGAUGAGGCAGAGAAGUUCCCUGGACUGUGUUUUUUGUUUUUCUUGGAACUGUUUGGGCCUGCUCUGGACUGAACACCCAGAAGAGCACCAGCAGCUCCACCUGUGGCCACUGGGCUGGGUCUGGGCCGCGGCAUAUGUAGGGCCAGAGGGACUGAUCAGAGACUGAGUGAGCCACGCUACAGCCCACGGAGGAGACUUUCAGAGUUUGUCAUCUCUUCAGAGCGGCGAGAGGUUUUACUGUUUAAUACUGUUCAUCUUUUGUGCUGGUAAAUGCUUUGCCUGUUAAAUAAAAGGGUUUUUUUCCCACGUACCCCCAAGGAAAUCUCCCAAACCGACUGUGGGAGGGGCUGCUUGAAUCUGCUCUCUAGAGAAAAGCACGUUCAUGUGUCCUGGUUUUGGGCAAAUUUGGGAGAAAACCUUCAAACACAUGAACAUUAACACAAAUUGCUUGCCCAAUCCUGCUUUGCUGUCUUGGGAAAUCCUCAGAUUUCCUAUUUUAUAUUUUAGGAAAUUAAUCUAUUGAAAUCAUAUACAUUAUGGGAAAUAACCUAGUCACCACCAAAUGGCUAAAAUGUCAUUACUUUGAAAUUCUGGAAAGCAAUGAUAAGUCUGUCUGCAUGACCUCUGGAAUUCCAAUUUGGAUAUCAACACAAACAAAAAUCCAGCAGUAGCUUGAAAGAAGAGUGGGACAACUUAUGACAAGAAUACUGUCUUCAUAUGAAUUCAUGCUGACAGGUUUCUCUGUGCUUAACUGGCAUGAUAAUUUUUUACGCAUAAUUCAGAACGCAGCAUAGAACCACUGGCAUGGGGUGGGGUAGGUGUAGUGGCAUGCCACAUUGGACUUCAUCCCAACUUCAGGAUAGUUUUCUGAGUGUACAUGAUAAUAAAGAAGAAUUUCACUACUCCACAAUGGGUGCAAUUUACUCAGUUACUUCCACAUUCCAGUGUUGUGGAGGGCAGAGGUUUAUUUUCCAUUCAUUGUAUAUUCACCAGAAGUAAUCUGGUUGCCAUGAACGAUCUAUUCUACUGUACAAGUGCCUUUAAGGAAAUCAUCUACCUACUCGAUAAGAAACAUAUUCAGCUGCUCUUUUUGUCUUGAUGCAUGCAGCUGUCUUAGGUGAUGAGCAGCUGUGUACAUGUGAAGGUGGGAAAGGCAGACUGGGAGGGAAUCAGUCUUUCUAGAAAAAUAUGAAUUCUGUUCUGGUUACUGCAUGUUACCCAGGAAAGCAAAGUAUGAUAGCACAGUUCACAAAAGUUCAUUUUUGCUCCAGAAGCAAAAAAAUUUAAAAAAAAUAUUCUAUUGAAGUCAGACCAGAUCCCACAUGGAUUAUGCUUGAUUACAUGAAAAGAAUUUUACUCCAAAGGAAAUUGCUGUAAUACCUAAGCAGUUUAAAUUGAAUAAAAAUAAGAUCAAAAGACCAUUCAGAAAUCAUAAUUCAAAUCUACUCAUUUCCUUAUGUGAACACCAUUGUGGACAACACAAAGCUGAAAUUCUGUGUAAAGUGAAGUUUAAGUCCCUGAACAACUUCAGGCAAUUUUUGUAAAAUUUCACUCACCGUUUAGUUUAGUGAAGUAAAUACGUAUUUUUUAUUACUCAGGGAAUUGGCAGAUGUAAUUGUUCUGGAAAAAUCAAGUAUCUCUGGUGGGGAAACUUAAAGAACAACAAAACAAAAACAUCACCUGGUUUUGAAGGUACUUCUUAUAGGGCAAGCCUCUCAUGGGACAAUCUCUCCAUCUGACUCUGCAUGUGUGUAAUGAGUAGGAUUUCUGUAUGCAUUUUAAUUAUUGUGCUGAUAGCUCCAAAAGUAAUCCUUGAGUCUCCCUAUCCUAACAUCCUAGACCAUGAUGUUUGGAGCUCUGAGCAGCCUGGUCUGCUGAGUGUUCCUGCCUAUGGCAGGAGAAUUGAAACUAGAUGAUAUUUAAGGUCCCUUACAAUCCAGGCCAUUCUUUGAUUCUGCAACAAUUCCAGUAAUGUUAAAUUAAUCAGUCUGCUCUCCCAAAACUGUGCUACUGAACACAUAAUAAUGUAAACUUCACUAUCUCUUUCUGAUAAAUUAAA